AACGCACAUUGCGCCCGCUAGUAUUCUGGCGGGCAUGCCUGUUCGAGCGUCAUUUCAACCCUCAAGCCCCCGGGCUUGGUGUUGGGGAUCGGCCGCCUCCCCGGCGGCCGUCCCCGAAAUCUAGUGGCGGUCUCGCUGUAGCCUCCUCUGCGUAGUAGCACACCUCGCACCGGAACGCAGCUUGGCCACGCCGUUAAACCCCCCACUUCUGAAGGUUGACCUCGGAUCAGGUAGGAAUACCCGCUGAACUUAA
rnacentral:misc_RNA from 1 species